ACUUAACCAACUGAGCCACCCAGGCGCCCCAAAAUCUCAGGCUUAAAAGUCUCACUAUCUCCCAUAUUUGAGUAGAUUGGCUCCGCGGGUUUGUCCAAAUCCCAUCAGUAAGGUCCCGCACAAGGAGGUGAUUCUGUUGGCGAUUAGAAUUUCCCCAACGUUUUGUCACUCCCUAGAGUGUUAAGUUAUGCCCUGCCACGGCAUACAUCAACAUUUCAUGGAAGGGAUGUUUGGUUUGGUGAGGCAUGGCCCUGAACUUACAAAUUCACUGGAGAUUCUUUUUGGUUUUCUCCUUACAUGGUAAUUAAUAGCCACUUCCCUGGAAUGGCUCAUCACGUGAUGUGGAAAAUAAAGGCAAAAGAAAAAUUAAAUGUUCUUACUACUUACAGCCCAUUGACAAGUCCUUGGAACAGGCAGAGUGACCUUCCUCUAGGGACUCAGCUGCCUCGAUGUUAAUACUUUGCUUAAGGGCAAAAGGCAAUCUUAGCCCGACCCCCAGGAUCCUGUAAGUCUACUAUAACAUAUUAAAGUUCCUUUGGAAACUUCCUUUCUCUCUACCCCCUCCCCCAAGAUAUAUGUUGGCAAUCAUCCCCCAAGCAGAUGACCCACCAAUAUGCAUCAGAAGGAUCUCAUGACUAAGGUUUUUUUUUUUUUUUUAAGAUUUUAUUUAUUUAUUUGAGACAGAGAGAAUGAGAGACAGAUAGCAUGAGAGAGAGGAGGGUCAGAGGGAGAAGCAGACUCCCCGCCGAGCAGGGAGCCCGAUGUGGGACUCAAUCCAGGGACUCCAGGAUCUUGACCUGAGCCGAAGGCAGUCGCUUAACCAACUGAGCCACCCAGGCGCCGCCCCCCCCCCCCUUUUUUUAAGAUUUUAUUUAUUUAUUUGACAGAGAGAGAGAGCACAAGCUGGGGGAGCAGCAGAGGGAGAGGGAGAAGCAGGCUUCCCGUGGAGCAGGGAGCCCGAUGUGGGACUCCAUCCCAGGACCCUGGGAUCAUGACCUGAGCCAAAGGCAGACACUUAACCAACUGAGCCACCCAGGCGCCCCUCAUGACUAAGGUUUUAUCAGACCGUAAUAAAUGACCUUUUCCCAACAACAGCUAGCCCCCUCAAGGUCCUGGAAACCUUGCUUCCAAAAUUCCAUAGAGAUAUACACUCUCCUGAAUCCCCUCCCACCUUGAAAGUAUAUAAUGGGCCACUCCUCAUGACCCCAGUGCACCAAUUUCUGCCCACGGGUCCUGUCCUGGUGCUUUCAUAAAGCCACCUUUUUGCACCAAAGAUGUCUCAAAAAUGCCUUCUUGGCCGUAGGCUUCCAACGCUAACGUCUUUCCUGCAUCAUCACGUGGCCCACUGCCCCUGCAUUUCCGAGGCUCGAGGUCUGUGCAUCCUGGAAUUCUGUUCCACCGCCCCCUCUACUGGAGGGCGGAUGACCGACUCACCCACCAUUCCUUCCACUGUGGACUAGCCUCGCUCAGGCACACAGUUCGUCUUGAAGACACAGAAGCCCGGGAGCGGCAGAGACUGGUGGCUACAUUCGGAGAACAAUGGAGCUGCCACAGCCUUUGUGUUUUCAUUUCCCUGCUGCUUUUCCUCUGAGCGCAGCAUGUUCUCAGACCUCAUUCUGUGCAAUUACCCUAUAAGGCGAAGGCAAGGAGUCAGGGCAAGCCCCACGGAGGUCAAAAGGGCCCAGAUCUCCUGGCAUGCUGCUUUCCUUGCCCUGGGCUGCUGGCUUGCCAUAAGGCCUGCUAAUAGACCAUUUGGUAGCCUUUUUAGAGCGGUUUGCGGAAAAUCAAGAGACUUUACUUGCAGCUAAGAAAAGAAAAUAUGAUCAACUUUCACUUCCGGUUUUUAUAUUCUGGGUUGCUAGCUGGCAACCUUUUCCGGCUCCGGGACACCUGAGAAAUAGCACAACUACAACAGGGGUUAUGUGCUCUGUAAUCCUUUUUACCCAGAUUCUGAAUCAGAACUAGCCUCUUGCCCAGCUGUGCACCCCAAGCCCUCUCCAGGGGGUACGACAGACAGACGGCUCAGGCGCGGGACAGGCAAGCGUAGUUUGGAAAAGUUGCCUCUCUAGGUCUGCGGUUGUCAGAGCGGCGUCCUUCGCUCCGCAGAAAUACGAAUCCUCAGCCCCACCCCAGGCCCGCGCUUCAGAAACCCCGGGGGCUGCGCCCAGGGAGCCCUCCAGGUCAGAUAAGCCAGCUGAAGUCUUUCCUAGCAGAAAAGUACAUUUCAGAUUCUAAGGGCUUUUAAAAGGGUUGACAAAUAUGAGUGGAGCCCAAAAGAAGUUGGGACUCAGGCAAAGAGAUGCCCCAAAGGAAGCCGCUACAGUGCCCUCCGGAGGCCCGGUCUUCAGUCCCAUCGUGCCACCUAGAAAUUCUCAGGGACACAG